AGAAAAUGGUCUAAAACCCCCCUAACCUAUACCCGAAAUCCCAACUACACACUCCAACUUUACGGGAGUCCUAUCACCCACCUGAAUUGUUUAAAACUGUAAUAAUUACACCCCUAAAACGCCAUAACCAGAUCUGUGUUGGCCUGUGAACUUCACGCGUUUUACCGGUGAAAAUUCAAUUAAUUUAUUAUUUUUUUUCAAUUUUUUUAUAAUUCCUUUCCACUUUUUCCUAUACUCUCCCAAUUUCUUAAAAUCUCUAAGGNNNN
rnacentral:lncRNA from 1 species